AAAGGAAUUAAGGGCGUACAGUGGAUGCCUUGGCACUAAGAGCCGAUGAAGGACG
rnacentral:rRNA from 1 species